UACGUAGGGUGCAAGCGUUAAUCGGAAUUACUGGGCGUAAAGCGUGCGUAGGCGGUUUCUUAAGUCUGCUGUGAAAUCCCCGGGCUCAACCUGGGAAUGGCAGUGGAUACUGGGAGGCUAGAGUGUGUCAGAGGAUGGUGGAAUUCCCGGUGUAGCGGUGAAAUGCGUAGAGAUCGGAAAGAACACCAACGGCGAAGGCAGCCCCCUGGGCUAACACUGACGCUCAGGCACGAAAGCGUGGGGAGCAAACAGG
rnacentral:rRNA from 1 species